GAAAUGAAAGAGUGGGAAUUAUUAGAAUAUCAUAAUUAGGAAACAAAAUCAGAAAAAUAUCAAAGAGGAUUAGAAGAAAAUCAAUAUAAUUUAUUAGGAAAUUAUUCCAUAAU